rnacentral:rRNA from 1 species
GUGACCACAGUGUUUAACGGCCGCGGUAUCCUGACCGUGCGAAGGUAGCGUAAUCACUUGUCUUUUAAAUGAAGACCUGUAUGAAUGGCAUCACGAAGGUUCAACUGUCUCCUUCCCCCAGUCAAUGAAAUUGAUCUGCCCGUGCAGAAGCGGACAUAAAAACAUAAGACGAGAAGACCCUGUGGAGCUUUAGGCCAAGGAUCAAACAUGUAAAACAGACUAAAACCCUAAAAAGAAUAAUAAAAGUCCAAAAACCAAGAGUAACCUGAUCCUAAUGCCUUCGGUUGGGGCGACCGCGGGGGAAAAUAAAGCCCCCACAUGGAAUGGAACUACUUCCUAAACCAAGAGUUACAACUCUAAGUAACAGAAUUUCUGACCACCUAUGACCCAGGACAAACAUAAACCUGAUCAAUGAACCAAGUUACCCCAGGGAUAACAGCGCAAUCCUUUCCCAGAGUCCAUAUCGACGAAAGGGUUUACGACCUCGAUGUUGGAUCAGGACAUCCUAAUGGUGCAGCCGCUAUUAAGGGUUCGUUUGUUCAACGAUUAAUAGUCCUACGUGAUCU